GAGUUUGAUCCUGGCUCAGAUUGAGCGCUGGCGGCAUGCCUUACACAUGCAAGUCGAACGGCAGCACGGGAGCUUGCUCCUGGUGGCGAGUGGCGAACGGGUGAGUAAUGCAUCGGAACGUAUCCUGGAGUGGGGGAUAACGUAGCGAAAGUUACGCUAAUACCGCAUAUUCUGUGAGCAGGAAAGCGGGGGACCUUCGGGCCUCGCGCUCUUGGAGCGGCCGAUGUCGGAUUAGCUAGUUGGUGAGGUAAAGGCUCACCAAGGCGACGAUCCGUAGCAGGUCUGAGAGGAUGAUCUGCCACACUGGAACUGAGACACGGUCCAGACUCCUACGGGAGGCAGCAGUGGGGAAUUUUGGACAAUGGGGGCAACCCUGAUCCAGCCAUGCCGCGUGAGUGAAGAAGGCCUCGGUUGUAAG
rnacentral:rRNA from 1 species